CCAAUGGUAGAUCAUGAGAAUGCUCAGCCAAACUUGAGCCAUGUCUACAAAAGUACAAUGUUGUGUACUGUUAUAGAGUCAUUGGUAGGUGAAUGUCACACCAACCAAAAACCUCACUAGUUUUGCUUAUCCACCAUUUCACUCCAGCAUGAUGCUAGCACCAAGUCCUAGAACUGUACAUAUAUGGAGUGCCAUUAUCUUGUUAGUGUGAUGUUUUAUCUUUAAUCAAUUUACUUCAGUAUUUAUGCCUGAUCAUUUACCAGGCCCAACCUAUAUGCAACUUUGUCCACUUUCCUGCUCAACUACAUGUAUUGGUGUGUUGUGGGGUCUGUGCCUAUCAAUAGUUGCAAUAGAAAGAUGUUUGAGCCAGAUAAGCCUGCACAGGGAUGUUUCCUGAUAGUGGUUGAAAUGAAACCAUGGCAUUGUUGUUUCCUUUUAACCUCCUUGCAGAUGUUGGUGUGGAAAAUAAUGAAUCAUUUUCUAAAAGGCUAGCUAUUAUUCUGACAGCAUUCUAACCCAGGAAAGAUCUGCCAGAAAAGCUGGUCUGUUGGAAAAUGUCACAAUUUUCUACCCCAAAAUCUGCUUUGAGAUUAAUUUUCUUUGUCAUAAGUGAAGCAUCAGGUUUGUAGGGGCUAAGAUUAGGAGGUGGUGUGAAGUGCUUGUACAAAUGCAAAAAAAAAUAAUAAUAAUAAUAAAAUGAAAAUAAAAUGUGAUUCUUUUUUUACCUCUGAUGCAUAACCAAUGUUAUGAAGUAGGGUUGAAGUAAAAGUAGAGGGUGGAGUUUGUAUGACAUAAAACAGUGCUCUGGAAUUAAUGGAGUUGAGUUGAGGACUUGAGAUUGUUGAAGAGGAGAGCAGAGUUGGUUUAUUUGUUACUACAUUUUAGCAGGUUUGCAUCUACAAAUGUCGAGCCAUGUUGAAACUUGAAGCAUCAAUAUGCUUACUGAUAGAACAUUUCCCAUUAAACCUUUGUGCAACAGUUAACGAUAGCCAAGAAUAAACGUUGCAAGAUGUAUUUUCUUCCUAUGGUGUUGCAAAUUUAAUGUUCUGUCAAGAACAUGUGAGUAGUAAUUGUAGAGGAUAUGGAGAAAAUGGGGUAACUUAAUAACAGUCCCUCUGUAUAAAUGCCAAGCUAUAGCUCAGGUAUUCGCCAACAAUGUCAAACAACUGGCCAGCCUACACAUUAUACCAGAGUCAUGUCAUGCACUACAUUGUGUGUUCAACUGUGACGUUCUAUCUGUAAGCCUUGAAAUAAAGAAUGCUGGCCAACA